rnacentral:lncRNA from 10 species
AACAGCUCCGGUCUACAGCUCCCAGCGUGAGCGACGCAGAAGACGGUGAUUUCUGCAUUUCCAUCUGAGGUGGAAUGACUGUGGCUCUGUGCCAUCUCGAAAUCUACUGGUCUCUAAGCACAAACGAACAUUCUCUUAAACUAAUGAAAUGAGUGGCAGGCAGGGUGUGCAGAGCACCAGCAAAGGCUCAGAGGGAUGCCCACAGAGUUCCACCGCAACCGUGCACAGAGGAGGAGGAGAAUGCUCCCUACAGGUGAAAACUAGGCUAAUACACAAUGAUUGAAGACUAAAGGAUGAGAAGAGCCACCAGUGGGGCGCAUUCACAGAGAAACGGUCACAUGAUGAGGCAGCAAGAAGGCAAAAAUUGCGAGCCAACAAGAGAGGCCUCAGAAGAAUCCAACCCUGGUGCCGCCUUCAUUUUAAACUUCCAACAACCCCAGAACUGUGGAAAAAAAUUCUAUUUUUUGUCUGUGGUAUUUUGUUAUGGCAACCCUAGCAAACUAAUACACUGAGCAAACUAAUACAUUAAACAGAAUAUUAAAACGAACAAAAC